rnacentral:rRNA from 1 species
GAUGAACGCUGGCGGCGUGCCUAAUACAUGCAAGUCGAGCGAACAGAUGAGGAGCUUGCUCCUCUGACGUUAGCGGCGGACGGGUGAGUAACACGUGGAUAACCUACCUAUAAGACUGGGAUAACUUCGGGAAACCGGAGCUAAUACCGGAUAAUAUAUUGAACCGCAUGGUUCAAUAGUGAAAGACGGUUUUGCUGUCACUUAUAGAUGGAUCCGCGCCGCAUUAGCUAGUUGGUAAGGUAACGGCUUACCAAGGCAACGAUGCGUAGCCGACCUGAGAGGGUGAUCAGCCACACUGGAACUGAGACACGGUCCAGACUCCUACGGGAGGCAGCAGUAGGGAAUCUUCCGCAUUGGGCGAAAGCCUGACGGAGCUACGCCGCUUGAGUGAUGAAGGUCUUCGAAUCGUAAAACUCUGUUAUUAGGGAAGAACAAAUGUGUAAGUUACUAUGCACGUCUUGACAGUACCUAAUCAGAAAGCCACGGCUAACUACGUG